rnacentral:rRNA from 1 species
CUCAGGAUGAACGCUGGCGGUCUGCCUAACACAUGCAAGUCGAACGAACCCUUUCGGGGGUGAGUGGCGGACGGGUGAGUAACGCGUGAGAAUCUGCCUUUUGGACGGGGACAACAGCUGGAAACGGCUGCUAAAACCCGAUGUGCCUUUAGGGGUGAAAUAUUUAUAGCCAGAAGAGGAGCUCGCGUCUGAUUAGCUAGUUGGAGUGGUAAGAGCACACCAAGGCGACGAUCAGUAGCUGGUCUGAGAGGAUGAACAGCCACACUGGGACUGAGACACGGCCCAGACUCCUACGGGAGGCAGCAGUGGGGAAUUUUCCGCAAUGGGCGAAAGCCUGACGGAGCAAGACCGCGUGGGGGAGGAAGGUCUAUUGAUUGUAAACCCCUUUUCUGAGGAAAGAAAAAAAUGACGGUACCUCAGGAAGAAGCAUCGGCUAACUCUGUGCCAGCAGCCGCGGUAAUACAGAGGAUGCAAGCGUUAUCCGGAAUUAUUGGGCGUAAAGAGUCCGUAGGGGGCCAAUCAAGUCUGUCGUUAAAGACCGCAGCUUAACUGCGGAAAGGCGAUGGAAACUGAAGGGCUAGAGAGCAGUAGGGGCAGAGGGAAUUCCCAGUGUAGCGGUGAAAUGCGUAGAGAUUGGGAAGAACAUCGGU